CUUUAGAAGUAGCCAAUGUGUUAAUAGAUUUACAUCAAAAUAUUAGUGAUCCUCAAUUUAUAAAAUCUCAAAAAGGAAAACUGCUUCUCUUUUUCCAAAAUUAUUUAUAUCGAUAUGCUUAUCAAAAAGAUGAUAGAAUACACUAUCGUUGCAGAAAGGUUGGCUGCAAGGCUUCAUGUAAAUUUGUUGGAAUUUACACAACUUCUGGUUUACAUGAACACCAAAAUAAAAUCGGUCAGUUUGAAAAACUGAGAACUCACAAGGUUCUAGAGGAUAUUGUUGCCGAAAAUCCUCUAGAGACAAGGCACAAUAUUUAUGAAAGGCCUUGAAUAAAAGAUGCCUGGAAACGCCCUCCAUCGAAAUGUAUCCAGAGGCAAUGCCCUCAUUUGUUUCAAUUAAGAGUACAAUUGACAGAUUGUUACAAAAAAAUCUGCCCACUUUGCCUCAGUCUGUGGAUGAACUAGUAUUAUUACCAGAAUACAUCACCACAAAUAAGGGGGAUAUUUUUUUAAUUAAUAAUGAUAAUAAUAAUAAUAUGCUGGCGUUUGGUACAUGUGAAAUGCUAAAACUUGUAGAAAUAUGUGAUGGUGAUAGCAUUUACAUGGACGGCACCUUUUAUGUCGUUCCUCGACUGUACUGUCAAUUGUAUAGUAUCCAUAUAAUGUAUCAAGAAGUUAUGAUACCGAUUAUAUAUGCCCUCCUCCCCGAUAAAAAUAGAGGGACAUAUAUUGAAUUAUUUCAAAUUAUCUUGCAAUUUUGCUCGAUGAAAAAUAUCCUUCAAUCCUCGAUUUGGACAAACUGAUUACGAGGCCGCAGCUAUAUCGGCGCUUAGGUUUGUUUUUCCCAAUAUGUCCAUAAAAGGUUUAUUUAUAACAUUGUAUAUUAUAAUUAAAAAAAUUUAGGCUGUUUUUUUCACUAUUCCCAGGCUCUUUGGCGUAAAUGUCAGGCGCUGGGUUUAGUUAGCGGUUAUUUGCACAAUACUACCAUUCAUCAAGUUGUUAGACGAAUGACCACUUUGCCAUUUGCAAAGAAGAACAUAUUUCCGAGGUACGGGCAUCAUGCCAUGCUCUGUCUGCUGAAUAUCCUUUGCUCAAAAAUUUUAUGGAGUAUAUGGAUUUUACAUGGCUCGGAGUUAAUGCCAUAUUCCCCCGAAAUAUAUGGACCAGGUAUCAAGUUGACGGCCCUAGAACAAACAACCACCUGGAGGGGUAUCAUCAUGCCCUCAAGAGAAAAACAAACGUGGCUCACCCGAAUAUUUAUUGUCUGAUAAAUAUUUUAAAAAGACAUCAAUAUUCGAGUGAGCUUAAGAUUUUACAAAUUAAUAGUGGGUUAAA